GGAUUAGAUACCCUGGUAGUCCACGCCCUAAACGAUGUCAACUAGCUGUUGGGGAAAUUAAGUUCCUUAGUAGCGUAGCUAACGUGAUAAGUUGACCGCCUGGGGAGUACGGCCGCAAGGUUAAAACUCAAAUGAAUUGACGGGGGCCCGCACAAGCGGUGGAGCAUGUGGUUUAAUUCGAUGCAACGCGAAGAACCUUACCUGGUCUUGACAUCCCGCGAACUUAGCAGAGAUGCUUUGGUGCCUUCGGGAACGCGGAGACAGGUGCUGCAUGGCUGUCGUCAGCUCGUGUCG
rnacentral:rRNA from 1 species